UAGAAGCUGGUUUCAUAUGGUGGUUUAGAUGUGUGUUCCCAUUGUCUAGCACCAUUUGAAAUCAGUGUUCU
rnacentral:pre_miRNA from 1 species